GGGUCAGGAGGUUGGUCGUGCCACCGGUACGUACUGGUCUCACUGAUUCCUCCUUCCUGAAGAACCGUAAUGCCAUUAAUUUGGUGUUGCGGGGAAACAGGACUGUUACUUUGAAAAAAUUAGAGUGUUUAAAACAAGCUAACGCUUGAAUACAUUAGCAUGGAAUAAUGAAAUAGGACGAUCGAUCCUAUUUUGUUGGUUUCUAGGAUUGACGUA
rnacentral:rRNA from 1 species